rnacentral:lncRNA from 1 species
AAAGUGGAAGAGCUCCUGCUGGUAGGUCUAGUUGGUUUGUAUUUUUAUCAAGCAUCCAAAGAUUAAGAUAAAAUUCAAUAGUAAAACUUACAACACCGGACCAUCAUCCUAAUUUCAUUGUUAAGUAAUCUCCACAGCAAAACCAAGAAUCCAUUUUAGAGUCAACCUGAAUAUCUUUUACAUGACAUUUUUAAGCCAACAUUAUAAGAAUUAAUUUAUUCUGAUGUUACAUCAUAAUUACUGCAUCAGAAUGAAUUUCCCUGAUCUCCUGUACACCUACUAUAGUACAGCACACAUCCUAUACAUGUGGACAACUUCUCCUUGCCAUUCCAGGAGCAGUGUAUAUUCCAUUCAGCUCAGAAAACAGAUCUACAUCUGUUUUGCAGUGGUUGGUUUUUUUAGAAUUUUCUACCACACAUGCAUGUUAUUUGUCUAAUUGUAAAAUUAUAACUUUUUUAAAAAAAACACUCAUAACAUGUUAAGA